AAUAUUGGACAAUGGGCGGGAGCCUGAUCCAGCCAUGCCGCGUGCAGGAAGACUGCCCUAUGGGUUGUAAACUGCUUUUAUACGGGAAGAAACACUCCCUCGUGAGGGAAUUUGACGGUACCGUAAGAAUAAGGAUCGGCUAACUCCGUGCCAGCAGCCGCGGUAAUACGGAGGAUCCAAGCGUUAUCCGGAAUCAUUGGGUUUAAAGGGUCCGUAGGUGGACGAUUAAGUCAGAGGUGAAAUCUUGCAGCUCAACUGUAAAAUUGCCUUUGAUACUGGUUGUCUUGAGUUAUUAUGAAGUGGUUAGAAUAUGUAGUGUAGCGGUGAAAUGCAUAGAUAUUACAUAGAAUACCAAUUGCGAAGGCAGAUCACUAAUAAUAUACUGACACUGAUGGACGAAAGCGUGGGUAGCGAAC
rnacentral:rRNA from 1 species